AAUAUACUCCCUCCAUUUCAAAUUACUUGCCGCGUGUAUGGAUGUAUCUAGAUGUAUUUUAGUUCUAGAUACAUUCAUUUCAGCGAGUAAUUUGGAACGAAGGGAGUAACAU
rfam:Triticum aestivum genome assembly, contig: Triticum_aestivum_CS42_TGACv1_scaffold_094745_2AL